AAUGAACGUUGGCGGCGUGGAUUAGGCAUGCAAGUCGUGCGAUAACCCCGCAAGGGGGGAAAGCGGCGAAAGGGAGAGUAACGCGUGGGUACCUGUCCCUUGGUCCGGAAUAGCUGCGGGAAACUGCAGGUAAUGCCGGCUAAUAUCCUCGGAUCAAAGGUGGGAUUCCGCCGAGGGAGGGGUCCGCGUUCUAUUAGCUCGUUGGUAGGGUAAUGGCCUACCAAGGCGACGAUGGAUACCGGGUGUGAGAGCAUGACCCGGCACACUGGGACUGAGACACAGCCCAGACGCCUACGGGUGGCUGCAGUCGAGAAUCUUCGGCAAUGGGCGCAAGCCUGACCGAGCGGCGCCGCGUGCGGGAUAAAGGCCUUCGGGUUGUAAACCGCUGUCGUAGAGGAGGAAAUGCCAUGGGGUUCUCUCCAUGGUUUGACCUAUUCUAGGAGGAAGGACGGGCUAAGUUCGUGCCAGCCGCCGCCGUAA
rnacentral:rRNA from 1 species